CUGGAAAGAAUCGAAGCGUCAAUUUCAAGCAUUUACAGAGAAUCACUAUUGAAAGUUCAAAGGCCGACUAGUGAGCUUCAUACUAUCUCAUUUUUUAAUCAGGCGAUGGAUCGACGAAUCGUAUUGAUUUCGAGGAUUAUUAUAGUUCUGUGGGAAUUUUAAAGCGUGGUUUGUCUAAUCUUGUCUCGUUAGCUACAGACUCUUUGGCGAGCAGCCUGAAACUUGAUCCAGUUUCGAGAAAAUGAAAAAUUCGUUUUUCCUCUUUGCUUCCCUGUUCCUUCUUUCCUCCUUUUUCCCUUUUUACAUCGCGUUAAGACCCGUUAAAUAAUAUUGACUGCCGUGGACGCUGGCUGAGAAGUGCACUUUAUAACUAGCUUUAAAAUCACUGACGUCGAUGAGGACAAAGAUACUUCUGGCUUGUGCAUUUCUUUUCGCUUUUCGUCGCUACUUACGACUCUUACGACUUACGUCUUACGACUAGGAACAUGUAUUGCAGUUUGAAACUUUACAUGAGAAUGAUGAUGAUUGCGGUCUGUAUACCGCCAGCAUUUCUUUUCAUCCUUCCAUUACAGACUGGUAAGUUGAUACUGAUUAAUUAUGCGAUCGAAAUCCUAUAUAAUGGCUACAAAAAAUAUUUGCAUCAUUAUUCUCGUUUCCUAAUGAAUCGCUGUUUUAAUCAAGUUUUAUAUUGCAUCAAAUUUCUGUAGUUACACGAAAGUACUAAAUUAUAGAAAACUUGAUAUACACGGAUUUAAUUAAUUGAUAAAUUAGUCAAUAUAUAGGCAUUAUUAUUUCACGUGAAAUUUUACAACGUCAAAAACCUAAUAUUCCUGUACGAGCAGUAUUAAUCACAAAUUGUGAGAAUGCCUACUGAUAAGGAAGAAAGAUAAUAUAGAAAACGCAGACUUGUGGAAAGAGAAUCCCUGACAUUAGACACGAAUACGCGA